UGAAAGCCACUGUGGGUUUCUAAACAAAGUAAUGCUCUGACAAGAUUUGAGACUUUUAAAGGAACAAAAGAUGGAGAAUGGAUUGCAGAGCACAGAGACCAAAAGAAGGCAAAAUUGUGAUGCAUUAGUAAGGGAAAGAAGUUAAAUCACCUGUUCAAUGAUCCAUUAACUUACCACUCCCUUCACCAGGAGGAUGCCACAGAGAAAAUAAAAGGAGAAAAGAAGGCAAUUUUAGUCUCCUUGUAAACAGGCCCUCCUGGUAAAUAGACAAAUGAUAUUUCCUUGGAGAAAGAGAACUUGUCUAUAAAAUGUCCUUGGCAAGAUUUCUCUGUAUAGAUGAAUUAUCGUAAAGAGAACCCAGAGUCUAUGAAGCUGGUUUUCUGGAGAAUGUCACAUAAGCUUUUCAACAGAAUGGGAUAUAAACCAGAGAUGUUCGGUAAUAGAAAUGCUCCCUGCUAUGUGAGGGACCUCAAGACUCCGCUUAGAGAUCUCAUCUAUCCUGUGCCAGAGAGGAAUGUUCAAGGCAGAAAGAGAAAACCUGAAGAACUAUUCUUGAUGUUCCUGACCUUCGUCUACUUCAGCUGAGCUCAUUGUUGAUCUUCUUCAUAUUUGAAAAUAUUUAAUAAAGAUUUAAUACUAAGA